CGAAGAUGAUGCAGUUCCAACAGCCCGGAAGUAUUGCAGAGGAGCCUAGUUGACCGAUAUCUGAAUUAUAAUUACGUUCAAAGAAGAUACUUGGAUUCUCUACGUUCAACGUGAUAAUUAAACAUUGGACAUCAGAAAUGAAACACAUGUACAUCGGUACUUCCUGUUCUUCCCUACAUCCGACGAUAUGUCUUAUUUGGAUAAGACAAAUAUCCGACCGUCAACCAGAUUAGGAAAUGAAAACGUUUUUCUCUUCAGUCUUAUGUUUUAAUGAUUUUGUCAUGGCGACCAGAGUAUUUCUAUCGAUGAAUGGGUUAUUAGGUCUUUUACCUUAAGCUAUUUCAAAGGUAUUAUAUUAAUAUAAAUCAAGAAUCCAUAUAAUUUUCAACUGCUGUAAUAAAGAAUAUUCGAUAUAGGAAAGAAGAUGCUUGAUGAAGGAGAGGAGAUCGUAAAAACGGCGGAGGAUACUGCUUACGAAUUUAUUACAAAUCUUGCCAAUAAUCUGAAACCCAAGUAUGAAAGCAACAUGUUACUAUUGCUAGAACAAUACUAUAACAACCAUCGACUUCAAUAAUGAAUUUAAAUAAACGAGCGCAUUGGAUCGUGAAUGCAGAAGAGUGGUUUAAAAAGCAGUUGGAAAUUCUGACCAGGGAAGAAACAUCGUUAGCUAUUGUUCAUGUAUGCGUUAUAGGAUUGGGAAUACCUAAGUAGAGGAAAAAGAAGAAAAAACAUUUGUGCUGGACGACGAAGCUUGGAAAGACCAAUGUGGCGCUCUCUUAUAAUGCUCGGAACAGUGAUAAGAGGAAAUGGGAGAGAUUUACCCUUUUCAAAGGAUCCAAACGUGAGCGGCUUUAGCUGGAGCGUAUAUGCGAUUAAAGUCGGAAAGAAUUAUUGAAAGGUCGUCCGACGUUCCACGUGGGGCAAGAAUCAAAGGGGACUUGACAUGAAACUGCGCGAGGUAUAUAAUACAGAAUAAUUUAAGAGACAGGGAUAAGCAAAAGAUUCUCCGUUUUUGGAAAUAACGACUUUAGCAGUGGAAUACUUUUAAAUCAAACGUGAAAUAGAAAGUCCACGUUCACGUCAUCGUUAUUCCAUUGAUUUAAAUUAAGUAAUCAACCGAUAUAAUUAAAAAGGGAGAAAUGUUAAAUUUUAUAUUCCAAUUUGUUUGUCAGUAUAUUCACAUCUAUUUAAAAAAUAUUCGUAAUAUUUAAUUAGCAUUUUCCAUAAAUAUUGAAAUUGGACGAAGUAAUUUGGUCAGUAGCGCGAAUUGCCUAUUUAAUACGUUCUGAAAAGGAUUUAGUAACAAUGAAUGUCCGUAAUACGUUUUCCCAUACUUAUCAUUAAGUAUCGUCCUUUUGAAUCUUUCGUUAUUAACUCUCUUCAUCUGCGUGCGCCCCCAUAUGCGUCAGUCGAGUGGCCGAGAUAGAGUGUGCGGUCCUGUGUUCGUGGGUGCGUAUAACUGCUGGCUUAUGUUGAUAAUAGGGAAAGUAUUUUUUCAUUUGUUUUUCUUUCAUCCGACCAAGCAGAUAAUUCAAGAUCAGCUGUAUUAUUUAAUUGCCUAUUUAGAUUCAUUGUUUGACAAUACAGUUACAUAUUUUGCAGAGUAAUGGACUAUAUUCUUAGACACCAAUCGAUUUGGAACAUAAUAUACGAAAUUUAAGAUAACUAGAAUCAUAACGGGGUUAUUAUUUUUACUUACUACAUCGAUCUGCAAAAGACUUAAUCAGGGAAUUAAAUCGUUCAGCUAAAUGGAUAAUUGAAUCAUUCCGCUAGUCGUUGUUUGAUGAAAGGAAGACUAAUGAAGAAAUACCUUUCUUUUUUUCAAAAUAAGGGAGGAGGUGUACGUUGACACGCGCACUCAUUCCCGCUCACUUGACUCGCGUACGUAAGCGCGUACGUGCACGUAAGGUGGUAAUAAUAAAUCGUUUAAUAUGAUAAGGCUUGACAGUGGCUAAGAGAGAAGGUAUUUCCUGCGUGCAUAUCGUUAAAUCCAGAUCAAUACCUGUUAAAAAGGGAAUUUGUAGACAUGGAGGAUCGUAUAUUUUUGCAAAAAAAAAAGAAAAAUGUUGUCCUUUAUAAUUUUUUACGAUGUCUAUGAUAAAUGUUGAAUCAAUUCCUUUUCUACAUUAUCACCCCUCGCAUUAUGUAUGGGAUCUCUCCGUUUUUUUGUCGGAUGUCAUCACUAUCGCUUCUAUCGUUUUCUUCCGGAUUAAUAUUCAUUUUUUCUAACCGUGUGAAUGUCUACCUGGAAUUCCUCUUCGGUAUUACUUCGGUAGCAGGAAACUCACUCGAGUUUGGAAAUUUUGCGAUUAUCUUAAUGAAAAAGAAAUAAGUAAGUAAACGGAUUGGUAGUCUCUAAUUGUAUAUUACGACAUCACGGAAUGACACAUAACAAUAAUAUAAUACUUUUCUGGUUUCCUGACUAAUUAGUCGAGGGAUCUAUUUAUAUUACUCGAAGUUUCAAUACGAAGUGAGCUCAACUUUG